UAUUCUGCAGGAGAGAGAACAGAGAGAGGAGAUAGCUACAGUGGAGAGCUGCUUCGCCAUACCGAUUUGAUCAUCUUUCUCGCACCGUUAUCGGGUGCCAGGGUGCUAGAUUUCCGCCCAAAAAUCCGGCCAAUUAAGGGAAUGGAGAGGAAAGUCUCAAUACAUCUGUCUCGCCCUUUCUCUCUCAAAACAAAAUGGGGCAAAAAAUUUCGCCCAUUCUCCUUCUCGAGCAGCUUCUGGUGAUCUCUCUAUCUCUCUCAAUAUGGCCUAUUUGAGGGUAAAAUUUUGCAAGCUUCUGGUGAUCCUUGAGCUUCCUGUUGUUGAUCGGAUGGUAACAGUCUUGCUAAUUGCUUCCUUCAUCUCUCAGAUCUGCGCUUCUGCUUCUGAUGUGCCAUCACGUGUUGCAGAGGAAUGAGCAGGCUAGAGGAGCAAGUCAACAACCUGACUCACUGCUCAUUGGACUGCAAAAAUAUUGCUGAGAAGUUCCAGAUAGCCUGGGACAAGUAUGAGAAAGUGCUCUCGGUUGGGAUGAUGACCCAACAUAAACUCUGAUUUGAAUUGUUUGAAAUUGUCGUUGUCCAUAGAGUAGUAUCAAGUAGUUUCAAAAGCACCAUGCUGCCUGGAAUUAGAGAGUGGAGUGGGAAGUUGAAGCUGUAGAUAUAUGCGGGAAGAAUUGCGCCAACUGCCAGAAAUUGGGAGUUACAGAAUCUGAAACACUGAUGGCAUGCCGCUCAUAUUAGCUAAAAAUGUGGAAGGCCUUAGACUUCGCUGCUCUUAAACGGAGCCCUUAUCUUUCUUCAACAUUGAGAAACCAGAAACUUUUGUGUCACAGUGGGUACGCGCUGUACAAGACUUGCCAAGGUUUAUCUAAGGAUGAGAAGGCUCAGAAAUUAGCCCGGCAACACUGGCUUGAAGUUGAUGAGUUGAUUGAAAGAAACAUUUACUGCAAUGGCUAGACGAGUAAUGCACCCAUUACUGAGAAGGGGACUUGAAUCUUAGUCAACGGAGUUCGAUCGUGAACUUAAAAAUGAGGAGCGCAGAAAUCCUUCUGAGGUUUACAAGCAACGCAAUGAUGAGACAUAGUCCAUGGUAUAUGAAUACACCCUUGGAAAGAAGAGAGUUGAACUCUUUGAUAUGGAAGUAGGAUUAGUGAACCUAGAGCUGAUGAUAAUGUUCAAGUAGCAUCAUGUGAGACCUGUGAUUCACAGAUUUGUUCCAACAUGUUUGAUUGCUACUGUGUCCCAUUAGUGAAUAUGUAUUUUGUUAGUACCUAUGGACAUUCAACCAUCGGGCUUCUCUAGGUGAGUUUGUGUUCAAUGAGGCUAUGGUUUAGAGCCAAGAGGUUGUUGGAAAUAGAAAUAUAUGCCCAAGAAUUUCAAGUAGUUACUAAUUUUAGAAUUCGAGUUCCUAGGUUAUUGGGUUGGAGGUUCAGGAUUAUAAUGCUAAUAAUUAGUGUUUAUAUAAUACAGGGAACCAAGCUCUUCCACUUUUGAUCC